GACAGAACACCGGUAGUAACGCCUCCGUGAGGUAGAGGACUUUAAAAUCCUUCACAGUAAAAUGAAAGCAAAAGGAGAGGGACAUUUAGAAUGAGAGAAAUAAUAUUGUAAGAAGCUUGACUUUCUUGCGCAAGACUCUGUGGUGCGAAUCAAGUCUCAGGAUGAGUUCACAAGGUUCUGAAGAUCACAGUGCUGUCAAGAUGCCCCGUGCGUUUGAGCCUUAUAAGAAGCAUAAAAACAUGGGCAAAUGUCUAAUCAUCAGUAAUGAGCACUUCUGCUCACCACAUUUGUGUAGAAAGGGCUGUUCAGUAGAUGAAAACUUCCUGUCGAACACGUUCAAGUCCCUAGGUUUUCAUGUAUAGGUGGAGAAGAACCUGUCAGCUAAUGAAAUGAUUGGUGCAUUGAGGAAAGUAUCUAAGGAGAACCACACAGACAAUUCCUGCUUUGUGUGUGUACUGAUGAGCCAUGGAGAGGAAGGAACAAUCCUUGGAUCGGAUGAGCGCUGGAUGCCUGUCAAAACUCUGACCUCUCUCAUGACCUCUGACCUCUGCC